rnacentral:rRNA from 1 species
UACGGGGGGAGCAAGCGUUGUUCGGAUUUACUGGGCGUAAAGGGCGCGUAGGCGGCCACCGCAAGUCAGUUGUGAAAGCUCUGGGCUUAACCCAGAAAGGUCAGCUGAUACUGCGGGGCUAGAGUGCAGAAGGGGCAACUGGAAUUCUCGGUGUAGCGGUGAAAUGCGUAGAUAUCGAGAGGAACACCUGCGGCGAAGGCGGGUUGCUGGGCUGACACUGACGCUGACAGCGCGAAAGCUAGGGGGAGCGAACGGG